AAACUGUCCAGAAACGGAGGCUGGGAGGCCUGGAGGCCCUCUGAUGGAGAAACUGAGGUGCAGAGAGGUGUGGGGACUCGCCAACACCUGUUCCCAUUCCAGCUGGAAUCAGGGCCAGAUGAGCUGACAGAUGACCGUGAGGAGGUGGACUCAAACCACAACCUGCCAGAAGCCCUGGUGCACAGAAGAGCCCCGCCACAGCACAUCCGCGGCUGCCAGUCCUGAUGGGCCUGCUGGCCAGGUUGGCCCUCCGCCGGUGUCUGGAACUGUGGCUGCUAAACAGCUCCCUACACUGACAACAACUUCCCCGCUAUGUUCACCCAUCUUUAGAUGUACUGAUGUGUGGACAUUCACCGUCCUGUUGUAUUGGGCAGAGGAGCCUUUGCUGAGCUGUGGAUGUUUUACCGGGUAUAGAUCGAAGGGGAAGGACAAAGGGGAGUGUCCCCCAGUGGGCGGCUGCAAUGAGAAGCGCAUGCUGUCCCUGCUGCCCCACUGCGGCGAAGCCUUUGCCGAAAGGAUGAAGAAGGUGGAGGUCUGGAAGUGGUGCAACUUGUCGGAGUUCAUCGUCACCGGCCAGGGCUGGGUUUGUAGUCGGGACCAGUGGACCCCAGAGAAACUGAACCCCGCUGGUUUCUACCUGGUGUGGUGGGAGCAGUGCCUCACCACAAAGGGCCCCACGCUCUAGAAGCUCCCGAGGUUUUUGAUCUCCUCUGGUCACACCUAGCAUCAAGUAUCAAGGUGACCCUUUCACCUCCUCAGAAAUCACCUAUGGGCUGUGCCCCCCCCCCUCCUCCACUUCCCACUUGGCCAUCUCAACCUGGUGCGCUGCUGGCGGCCGCUGCAGACUCAGACUGUCCUGUGAGCCGCGCCUGCCUGGAGGCUCCAUCCUCCCUGGGAGCCCCGGGUUUGCUCAGUCACAUCAGCCCUUUCCCCUCCAAGACCCCGGCCCCUGUGCUCUCUGCCCCCAGUGGCUCUUCUAGGGGCUUCCACGCCCGACUCCCCAGGGGACGGCGGCUCCUUGUGGGCAUGUUCACAGGCCCCUCGCAGACAUAGUUGUUCGCUGAACCAAACGGUACUACGAGAGCUUCACCAACUGCACCGAGGUGGAGACCAACAUGGUGGGCUGCUACUGGCCCAACCCCUUGGCGGAGAGC